rnacentral:rRNA from 1 species
AUGGCGACACGGGGCAAAUCUAGCCUUAUAUGGAGCACUGGAGAGCCUGCUGAUCAACUUGUAUCAUGUUUUGCUAUUAAGCUUAUGAAGCAAGGUGUAUAUGUGCUGAAUGUCCAGCCUUUUCACGAACGCGCUGGUAAUGGUGAACUAAUAUAUGUUCAGAACAUACAAUUCAAAAAAGUGUAUGUCUGA